rnacentral:rRNA from 1 species
CGUAGGGUGCGAGCGUUAAUCGGAAUUACUGGGCGUAAAGCGUGCGCAGGCGGUUUUGUAAGCCAGAUGUGAAAUCCCCGGGCUCAACCUGGGAAUGGCAUUUGGGACUGCAAGGCUGGAGUUUGGCAGAGGAGACUGGAAUUCCUGGUGUAGCAGUGAAAUGCGUAGAUAUCAGGAGGAAUACCGAUGGCGAAGGCAGGUCUCUGGGCUAUAACUGACGCUCAUGCACGAAAGCGUGGGGAGCAAACAGGAUUAGAUACCCUGGUAGUCCACGCCCUAAACGAUGUCGACUGGUUGUUGGGGGUUUGACACUCUCAGUAACGAAGCUAACGCGUGAAGUCGACCGCCUGGGGAGUACGGCCGCAAGGUUA